AAUUACAGCUUCAGCCCUUUGGUUGCAUGAGGUUUGCUAUGACCCAGCGAGGAGAUGGGACAGCUGCAGGAGGGCGAUGCAUGCUGGUCCAGCCCUGUGGCAGUGAUGCCCUGAGCAUCCCAGAGCUGGUGUCUGAGAAAGGAGCACCCCCACGCCUGGGCCCGGGGAGCUUGGGGCUCGGUUUCAUACAGUCCCUGCAUGUGGUGAGUGUCUGGGCAGGGAGCUGAAUCAAUGCAGGACAAUGCAUUAAAUAAAAUUGAUAGUUCCUUUCUUUAAUAAAGAGUUUUAGGGAGCCAUUUAAAGCUCUCACACAAUUGAUAGUGACUGGAUUUAAUAGGGCCUUCCCCUGUCCUUGAUGUGACUUAGGUAACUCCCUGCAGCAUCCACAUGAGCUGAAGUAUGCAGUGUGCAGUGAGGGGACGAUGCUAAAACGGACCGAAUGACUUUGAUUAAAAGACUUGUCUUUUUUUUCUUUCCUGAGAACUCCUCCCAUGUCAGCUUGCAUUUAAUAAUAAUUUAGCAGGUGCUAUUUACAAUUCAGAUGGCCCUCUUCUGUGUGCGUACACAAAUCCCGCAGCCACCCCUCCAGGACUUCCAACAGGUUUCAGGGGAGCAAAUGAGAUAAAAGUUCCCUAUCCACCCACCUCACCCUAAAGGGCAAAAACUGCACUGCGGGGACUAAAGAAAGAACAGUUUGAAAGUCACCGAUGUUUUCUUCUGCUUUACUCAGAGCACUUAGUGCUGAUUUAUACAAGCGGCCUUUGCAGCGGCAGGAGACCCAGCCCCUGCCCUGUAUUAAGCAGGCAGUAAGACCUUCUGCAGCACCUGCAGAGCUGCCAGUGCACUGUAACCAGAGGCUGCUUGCUGACUGCUGGGAGAGCGACAGAGCCUGCUUGAAAAAUACUGUAAAAAGCACGAGGCAUGUGUUCAGCAUAUAAAUGAUGCACACAAGACACUCCUGAAAUAAAUAUCUUUCACUUCUCCCCAGAGAGACGCAAGCCUGAAAACUCAUAUGCACACCCAGGUUAAGAAGGCAAUGGAAAGAGGAUCUGCCAGGUAUGCCUAAUGUAUUGCAACUUCAAAAUAGCCAUGUCUGAAGCACAGUGAUCUUCUUCAAGGUGGCCUCUGUGUGGCCUCUUUAGAGUCACUGUCCCCAGUACCACACACUUCAGGAAUUUCCUUAAGAUGGACAUCCGUGGAGGCUACACAAAUUCCUUCCCUCAUACUACUAAAUGUUUAGAGAAACCUCAAAGAAUAGUUCAGGCCCCAACGGCCUCAGCUCCUUCCUGUUCUUGGUGAGCAGAAGAUGUUUCAAGAGCCUUCAUUCCAGGUGAAAAUCCCCCUGUCUUUCUGCUCUGCUUUUCCUGUCCUGCUAUUAAAAUGGUCUCAUCCUAAUUAGUAGAUUCUUAAAUGCUUAAGUAGGGCAUAGUGGGUCUCAAAGAUGUGACAAGAGCCUGCCACCUGCACUGCUCUGGCUUCACGUAGCUCUGAGCUGCCACGCUUGAUCCACAUCCUACAGACAGGGGAACAGCACUUUCUGACAUGCAAAGUAGCCAUAAAUGCAAUCAAAGGAACCAUUUGAACAGCUCUUUUCCCCCACCUCCUUCCCACCUGCACAGUAUGUCUCACCACAGCGAGAUGGCAGGGGACCACAACCACCUUCACACCCCUGUAUAAUCUGCAGCACAACCCUGUUUGCUGUUUCAGUCUGCACCACAACCUUCCUUCAUAGACAGAUAAAUGCUAGCAAUCAGGACCACAGGCCCAGCCAGGCUGCCAGCAAGCACCACAGCAGGGUGGGCGGCUCCUCAGGCCUCCACUGUGGACAUGGGCUGAAGGCCGGUGAAACGGCCACUCACCCCUCGUGGUGUGAGAUGGCACACAUGCACAGCCCCUGCAGGGGCAGCAUCUCUUCUCCCAGGACUAUGGCAUGGAGACUGUGAAGUGGGAGAGCCAUGCAUGCAGGGGCACCUCCAGAGCCCCAGCACAUCCUGCACAGAGGAACGAGGCUGUGCCACUCCAGCAGGCCCCAUGCUGGAGGCUGGAAAACAGAGGUUGCUCCAAGCCCCAUCCACCCAUGCCCACCACACCUGGUGGGUCACUGGACAGUGCUGUGGAAGCUGGAUGUGGACCGUGGGCAACCGCUUCAAUGAGCCUGCUAUCAUCUGCAACACCAAACUCCAAGGAAUUAGUGAACAGAAGUCACCGCCAACCACAGCCCUCCCUCUGAACCAUCUGUGCUGUCUUUUAUUUUGUCUCUGUAGACCAAAGUCAAGUCCCUGCAAUAUCAAGCCCUUCAGUGCUCAGUCACCACAAUCUCACAUCUUACCACUACAAACUCCACUCUUCCAUAUUCACACUAAGCCACAAAGCCCUACUAUUAGAUAUCUUCUGUUAUCUAGAAACAUCACAAUUCUUAUUCAUCCCUUUGAUGUGGGUUCAGGUGCCCACAAACCUGAGUAACAAUCCGUGGGCUCUUCUGACAUAUUCCUGGGUUUGAGCACAUGAAGCUAAAUCUGAGACAAAUAUAUACACUUGGAUUUAAGUCCUUAAUUAUACUUCACUGAAGGAUUCUGUUGGGGUCACCUCCAUCUCCCACUUUAAUGAAUUGCAGUAAUGACAAGAGACAUUAUAGAUUUCCUCUGCAAAUCCUAUGGCUAGUUUAUGUUUCACAUUACAGUUAAUUAAUGACACAGCACCUGAGAACACAGGUUAAAAUAUUCCUCACCAGAGGCUCAGCUGCCUUGUUAUUUCACCACCGAUGCUGCAGUGACUGACCUGACACUGACUUUGAGGCCUCGGGGUGAGAAGGCCCAGCAGGAAGGUCCAUGCUACCCCAAACUGGGGGAUACCUUGCUGGAGUUAAGCCCAGCACAAUCAGAGCAGCAGAAAACUUCCUCUCCAUGAACAGCCCUGCCUUGAGAACCUCACUCUGGGAUCCAGAGGUGGGAUGAGGAGGAAUGAACAAGGUCAAGACUGCAGAACUGAUGGCAGCCCUGCCUGGAAGCUUUCUCUGUGGAAGACACUGAAGAGUUCCUAACAAAACACCUAGCCAAAGAAGUUCAUCUUCCCAGCUUCUUCCAGAGGCAGGCAGAGGUGAGGCCAGCACAUGGUGUCCAGCUGGGGCUGCAGGCAGGGUGAUGGGACAGCCAUCAGUCCACAUGCUCAAUGAGCAGAACCGUGGUGACAUUCGCAGCACUGCUCCAAAUGAGGUAUGGCAUGCUUCCAUCCUCCACAAGCCUCGGCCAGCUCCUCCAGGCCUGCAGAGAAGAUGGGAAGGAAAGCUAUCGAGGAAUGAUAGAAUCACAGAGAAUCCUGAGUUGGAAGGCACCUACAAAGAUCACUGAGUUUAAGAAAUGCUUUGUGGCUUCCCCACUCUGAAGACAAAAUGGCACCAGAUGAACCUGACAGCUAUUUGGAUCCACGUGCCAGGUAGGACUGUUUGGUAACAGCAUAUGCAUUCUGGUCGACCUUCUCCCUCCCAUCGUAUGGCCUCUGUGGAAGGAAAGUAGAACAAACGGUAACCACAACAUGUCUACAGAACCUGAAGUUUCCUCUGAAGAGCUCUACAAGACGAAUUGUAUGUAUGUAAAUACAUAACUGGCCAGGGCUUGCCUUGAACUCCAGCUUAGCACGUGUGCAGGUCCGUACUUUCAACCUCCAAACAAAUCUGUAAUAUGAGAGUCUCUGGGCUCUCACAAUCUCCAUUUCUGAUUACUACUUGCUGACAGAGCUGCAUUCUGAAAGCAGAACUGGAAAUCAGAAGGCUCUCAGUGUGACUCUGCUUUCCAGGCAGCAUGGCUCACAUCACUCAGCUGGGUCACUUCAGUUUCCAUCUUCAAAAUAGGGGGUGACAACAGCACCCCAUCUUACAAGGGAAACAGAGAACUGUCUUCAUUUCCAACCCCAGAUCCUACAGAUUUCACUAGCUGCCCUACUUGGCCAUCAGCUAUAUUAGUUCCCAAAAAUGGGUGUUAGGGGCCCUGGAAAAGGGACGAAAAUGAAUCAGUGUUUCUCUCUGCUGCCCUGCCUUGUGCCCUAUUCACCCACGCAGCGCUGGCACACUUGUGGCUUCCCUCAACAACUACCUAGUGGGAAGGAGAUUUGGGUUUUUUCCACAGCUGUUGCCUCCCCACCUGGAUGACUUCCCACCUGUAAAUAUUAGCUUUGUAAUGCUGAUGUCUCCAACUUGCCCGCAAGUUCAGUGAAGCCACAGGGAACGGCUGGCACCUUGCUCGUCAGAAGCAAACCUAUUUGUGAAGGCAGGACAUGGGCAAGGCUUGUUGGAGUCUCAGGCUGAGCCUCUCACUCCCACAGGAUUUUUUCAUAAGUGUUUCAUUUGCAAAGAGGCAAUUUCAUGACAUUCAGCGCUUGCUUUGUUUACGAAAUCUGAAACUCAGAUCAAGCACUAGCUGGGCUGAAAAGGUCAGUUUGCCUGUUCGCAAAGUCCCUCCCUUUGUUUCAUUUCCGUCAGGAUAAAAACCUGUUGGAGAGAAACAAACCUCUGGUGAGGUUUGGAUGAAAUACACAGGAUCUAGGCUGCAAAGGAAGAUGAAGAUGCAAGGAGAAUGGUGGGGAAGCUGGGGAAGGAGCUCUGCCACAUCAGAAAAUUGAGGCAGCAUGUGAAAAGAGAAACCCUGCAGAAAAGUGUCACUUAACUGUCUUGAUCCCUUCUAUGUUUAGAGCACUGAGCAGAUCACAGUGAACAAAGUGACACAGAAUCACAGCGCUCUCUGUGACGACACUCAGCGCUAACAAGCGUAUCCUUGGGAAUCCUUGUCAUCAUCCAGAAGGCCCAAUGAUUUAUUCUGCUUUAUUUGAGGCUGCAUUGAUCUCUGUCAUACAAAACACAUGACCACACUCUGACACACAAGCACACACUUGCACUUGAACAGCCACAGGAUGACCCAUGUAGGCAACAAAUCCCUCCUUCAGAAGAAACAAGUGAAGCUACCCCGCUACCCCAAGCAAUCCUAAGGAAGUGCUUCUGGACACCUCCCUGCUCCAUUCUGCUGGCUUGCUCCUGGAGAUGGGGUCUGGCAGCACCUGCCCCACGCUUUUCACAGCAGCAUUCUCUUUAAGCAAGGUCCAGUAGGACAGGGUCAGUUCAAGGUGCAGAGAAGAAGCAUGUUCGGCUAAGGAUGGGCAGCCUGGGUGAUGCACAAAGCUCUUGCUAACACAGAAAGAAAACCUGAUGUAGGCAUGGGGAUAAACUACAUGAAGGAUUUCAGAGCCUUGAAGAGUAAAGAUCCAAGAGCUCAGGAAAAGACAUCUGACUUGAGAAAGAAGGAUAUAAGGCUCUUGUGUGUGAUGAAGAAGCUCGGGGAUACCAGUAACUGCCUACUCCCCCCCGUCAAAGCUCUGAAAUAGAAGAAAUCAAAGGAAGCCAUUAAGAGAAAGAAAACAAUAAAAACCCCUACCUGUA